UCCGAUGAGAUCUAAUCCUACCAACAGGAAUGAAAUCCCUUGGAAAAGUAGGAAGUAGAAAUGUAUACCCUGUGCAGAUAACAAACUCCGAGCAGCGGCGGUUAGGAGUAAAAAUGCAAUUGUAAGUUCCUUUCUGUAAAUCCUAUUGUGCUUCUUCUUCUCUUUCUUACACUCCUUUUCAAGCUUCUCCUUCAAAACUGCGUCAAGAUCAGGUGCGGAUUCAGAACGAACCGGUAAUUUUUCGUCUGCCUCUUUUUUAUGAUGGGCUAGCAAAUGAAGAUCGCCUUCCGACGCCCUACCAGAUUUCUUCGUCACGACCCACUCAUAAGCAC
rnacentral:lncRNA from 1 species